UACGAAGGGGGCUAGCGUUGCUCGGAAUCACUGGGCGUAAAGCGCACGUAGGCGGAUUGUUAAGUCAGGGGUGAAAUCCUGGAGCUCAACUCCAGAACUGCCUUUGAUACUGGCGACUCUCGAGUCCGGGAGAGGUGAGUGGAACUGCGAGUGUAGAGGUGAAAUUCGUAGAUAUUCGCAAGAACACCAGUGGCGAAGGCGGCUCACUGGCCCGAUACUGACGCUGAGGCACGAAAGCGUGGGGAGCAAACAGG
rnacentral:rRNA from 1 species